rnacentral:sRNA from 1 species
AAAUUCAUUGUCCAGCACCACCACAAAUUGACAAUGGAAUAAUUCAAGGGGAACGUGACCAUUAUGGAUAUAGACAGUCUGUAACGUAUGCAUGUAAUAAAGGAUUCACCAUGAUUGGAGAGCACUCUAUUUAUUGUACUGUGAAUAACGAUGAAGGAGAGUGGAGUGGCCCACCACCUGAAUGCAGAGGAAAAUCUCUAACUUCCAAGGUCCCACCAACAGUUCAGAAACCUACCACAGUAAAUGUUCCAACUACAGAAGUCUCACCAACUUCUCAGAAAACCACCACAAAAACCACCACACCAAAUGCUCAAGCAACACGGAGUACACCUGUUUCCAGGACAACCAAGCAUUUUCAUGAAACAACCCCAAAUAAAGGAAGUGGAACCACUUCAGGUACUACCCGUCUUCUAUCUGAGUCUUACUCUGUCACCCAGGCAGGAGUGUGGUGGUGUGAUCUUUGCUCACUGCAACCUCUGCCUCCUGAGUUCAAGCAAUUCUCCUGCCUCAGCCUUCGGAGUAGCUGGGAUUACAGAAUUAUAACUGGACAUCUGUUGCCAGGUGACUUUUCAGUGCCUUCCACUAUAGUAGAUGGAAUAUACUUCCCCACUCCAUUGAGCCCAUUUUUUGUUGGCUAACCUAUAGUUUUAAGAUUGUAAUUUUUUUAAAUCUAGUUACCUUGAUUGCUUUUUAGAGAGCUAUUAGUCCCAAUAACUUAGACCACCAUUAUUUAAAAAUGGAAUUCCUAACCACAAUGUAUGCACCUCAUCAUAGGAAGGAACACAAAUGGGGGAGUAGAAGAAAACAGAAAUGUAUUAAUAGGUGACAGUGAGUACUUCAGCUUUAUGUGUAAUGUUUUAUUUCUUGUAUUACAAAGUAAAAGAUAUGAAGCAUUUGACUAAAAAUGUUAAUUUAUAUAAUUUGAAUGAUGGGUACAUGGGCAGUUGUUAUAUUUAUAUAUACUUUUACGUAUUCUAAAUUUUUUUCUCAAAAAAGAGAAACAGUCAAGGGUUA